rnacentral:rRNA from 1 species
AACUACGGGAAACCGGAGCUAAUACCGGAUAAUAUAUUGAACCGCAUGGUUCAAUAGUGAAAGACGGUUUUGCUGUCACUUAUAGAUGGAUCCGCGCCGCAUUAGCUAGUUGGUAAGGUAACGGCUUACCAAGGCAACGAUGCGUAGCCGACCUGAGAGGGUGAUCGGCCACACUGGAACUGAGACACGGUCCAGACUCCUACGGGAGGCAGCAGUAGGGAAUCUUCCGCAAUGGGCGAAAGCCUGACGGAGCAACGCCGCGUGAGUGAUGAAGGUCUUCGGAUCGUAAAACUCUGUUAUUAGGGAAGAACAAAUGUGUAAGUAACUAUGCACGUCUUGACGGUACCUAAUCAGAAAGCCACGGCUAACAACGUGCCAGCAGCCGCGGUAAUACGUAGGUGGCAAGCGUUAUCCGGAAUUAUUGGGCGUAAAGCGCGCGUAGGCGGUUUUUUAAGUCUGAUGUGAAAGCCCACGGCUCAACCGUGGAGGGUCAUUGGAAACUGGAAAACUUGAGUGCAGAAGAGGAAAGUGGAAUUCCAUGUGUAGCGGUGAAAUGCGCAGAGAUAUGGAGGAACACCAGUGGCGAAGGCGACUUUCUGGUCUGUAACUGACGCUGAUGUGCGAAAGCGUGGGGAUCAAACAGGAUUAGAUACCCUGGUAGUCCACGCCGUA